GAUGAACGCUGGCGGCGUGCCUAAUACAUGCAAGUCGAGCGAACAGAUGAGGAGUUUGCCUCUCGGACGUUAGCGGCGGACGGGUGAGUAACAUGUGGAUAACCUAUGUAUAAGACUGGGAUAACUUCGGGAAACCGGCGCUAAUACCGGAUAAUAUAUUAAACCGCAUUGUUCAAUAGAGAAAGACGGUUUUGCCGUUACUAAUAGAUCGAUCCGUGUCUCUUUAGCUAGUUGGUAAGGUAACGGCUUACCAAGGCAACGAUGCGUAGCCGACCUGAGAGGGUGAUCGGCAACCCUGGAACUGGAACACGGUCCAGACUCCUCCGGGAGGCACCGGAAGGGAAUCUUCCGCAAUGGGCGAAAGCCUGACGGAGCACCGCGGCGUGAGUGAUGAAGGUCUUCGGAUCGUAAACCUCUGUUAUUAGGAAAGAACAAUUGUGUAAGUAAAAAUGCACGUCUUGACGGUACCUAAUCAGAAAGCCACGGCUAACUACGUG
rnacentral:rRNA from 1 species